CCGGCCUUUCAGUGACUCUAACUAAACCUUAUCAUUACCUUCUCAGCCUCUCUCUCUCCUCUUCUCCAUUAGUCCGUCCGUCCUUCACCUCGCUCCUCAGCUCCAUGUAUGGAGCUUUCCUAGGUAGAUGCAUGGCGCCUACAACGAGGAACCAGCAGCAAGCAAGAUCCAGUACUCAUCAUACCAUCAUCCUAUCUAGGGUUUUGCGGCCGGCCCAGCUGUCAUCGAUCUUCUUCUUCAUUCUAACCGGCCAGGGGCGGCGGCCGGGCUUAUAUAAGCUACCUCUUACUUGCCUAGAUCGAUCCAUGUAGCCAGCCCAGCCAGCUACCCCUUCCCAGGUCUCAUCACCUCCCUUAGCUUGUGCAACCAAAUGCCCCGGAAAUCUUCACCUUACCUUGUUCAAUUCGACUGCUACAUACUACUUUCUCUCUCGAUAUACGCGAGUGUAGAUCGAUCAAUCGAUCCUCGAUCUCACGCAUCUCCAUCCCCUUCUUUGUCCGGCGGCGACUGUGGUGUACACUACACGUGUGGCGCGUGGAAAGAUAAACAGAUCGUGCGGUCCGGUUGUUCUUGAUUCUUCGAUUCUCUCUCUCUCUCUCUCUCUCUCUCUCUCUGUAUAUAUAUCACUUCCCUUUUGAUCUUUUGAUAUAUAGCUGCUACUCGAUCUACAUAUAUAUCCUUCCUCAGAAUAUAAUGAAGGCCGGUGUCUAAUUUGAUGCGUUCGUGUUCCUCUUCGUUCUUCUUGAUUCAAAGCAAGCUAGCUGCUACUAGCUCCUCCUUCGUUCGUGUAUAUAUAUGGAUCCAAACAUAUAUAUAUAUAGCUAGAUAUAUACAUAGAUGUGGCAUCUUUCUUUCCCACUGAUGAUCUUCCCUUAUUAGACGGGAUUCAGAUAUUAUUAUUAGCCAGCUAGCUACAGUCGGUGCUUGCAGGUGCAGCACCAUCAAGAUUCACAUCAAACUCAUCUUCAGUUAUGCGCUGCUUCGCUGUUGCUAUACAUGCUGCUGCAUAGCUGUUGAUUGAGAUGAGAAUCUUGAUGAUGCUGCAUCAGCAGACACUCACUCAUCACCUUGAAGAUCGAGGCGGAUCCGGCCGGCCGGCGCAGCAAUUGCAUUGGGGACGAGUAUUUCCUUCCAAGCCUUCUUUCUUUCAGUUGUUAUCAUGCUUAUUAAUAUUUUUCACUUGAGUUAGUUGAGAUAAUUAUUAUUCCUGUGAUCUCUCUCUCUCUCUCUCUUUUUGCAUACUAUACAUUUAAUUUGUUUCAUCGAUCUUGCUAAGCAAAACGUACUGCAGAAUGAAUCAUGCAUCCUAGCUAUAUAGACUCCAUCGUGGACAAGUGUUUAUUAUUUGCCUGAUGUUGGGCCCAAAAAGAAGAAGUGUCGCCGCGCCGCAGAUGUUAGUAAUUUGCCCUUUAAUUUCCUCACUCAUCGCUCCAUUUCAAUUGAUACAUGGCAUCGUCAAACCCUCAUUCUCAAGGUAGCAGGCUGCUGCGGCAGUGGAAGGCGAUCGAGUCUCGCUUGCAUUGGUUUCAUUGUGUGGUUCAAUUCGUUUCCAGGUGGGACAACUAACCAAGCUUAUAUAUAAACACUAGUUCAUGAUUAUUAAGGCCAGCCGGGCCGGGGCAACAUGAUUUUAUGGUGUAUUAUGAGUUUACUAAUUGUGCACACACUUAUUUGCUGAUUUAUUUGAGGAUAAUUUCCUUUAUUUGGAUCGAAGAAGUGUCCAUAUAUCAUUAUUAAUAAGCUUGCUUACACCGAGCUUAAAUAAAGGUUCUAGUUAAUUUGCGCAUAUAGUAUAGUCCAUGUAACCUAGCUACGAGUAGUAUAAAUUUCAUUCGGUUUGCUGUCUUGCUCGCUCUUCCUAGUGUUUCCCCCCUUUUUGAUUUUGAAAUAUAUGGUACAUCAUCUUUAAUUUGGUCUAUAUAUAUCCGGCCUCCCUCAAGAUAGAUUAAUCCAGUACUAAUACUACUGGUAUAUAAGAUACAUUAAUUGGCAAUCUAUAUAACUAAAUAAUUACUUUAUGUAUUCAAAGAGUUCUGUUUCCUUACUAGCUAGCUCAUUCUCUGCCAUCUACAUAUACUUAUUUAUUUCUUCUUGUGUCCCAAAGCAAACCCAAUAUAUGUGCCAACACUGCACUCGCGUCGGCAUCAUCAUCUGAUUGACGUACAGAUAUGCUGAUCUACAAAAUAUUCCCAAUCAUCAUUAGUUUAGAUGUUGUGUCACCUUAGCUAACUGCAUAUAUUCUCUAGCUGUAUCUGUAUGUACUCUCUGCUGCUACCUCAGACAUUAUAUAUGUUGCAUUGUACGCACUCUUAUAUCCAUUUCCUAUAUAUAUAAAGCCGGCCGGGUGCCAUGCAUCCAAUGCAACAAAUUAAAGACUGCAGGCAUGCAUACUCUUUGUUUGAGUAGCUAGCUAGUUGUGUCUAGACAGCAUAUGCUUGCCUAAGCUAGCUAUUUGUUCCUGAUGCCUGUAUGUGUGUUUAAUUUCCUCCCACACACAACCAAUAGUGCAGUGCAGACAGCAUCUUAUCUCCCUCACCAGAGAGGCUAGCUGCUUUAUUUUUUUCUUAGUAUGAGUAGUCAUCAUAUAAGCUUAAUCAUUCCUGGUAAUAGAUGGUAAACUGACCAACAAGUUUAAUUAAUUUCUCCCAGAUUUGUGUGUGAUCGAAAUAUAUAAGAUGGAAAUAUCUUCUGAUAAAUAUAUAUAUGUGGUGUUGAUGAGUUGGUCAUGCAGUACUUGGUUGUUUGUGAAAUCUCAAGCAGGUGGGCCACUGCGACUACCAACAAGCUGCAGCAGCCAUGCAUGAUAUCAUGAGAGGAAGAAGAGAAUAACACAAUACCGGCCGGCCGGGAAGCAAGAAGGGGCAUAUGAUUCAGCAACAGCAGUGGCAUCAGUUGAUGGAGUAUGAUGAUGAAGAGAAAUCAGCAGUGGCAAUGCCUGUGCCUGUGCCUGGGUAGAAGAGAGAUGCUAGCUAGCUAGCUGCUGCUUCAACUUGUUGGAGUGGACCAUUGCAUUGCAUUGCAUUGCAUAGAUGCAUAUGGAUGGAUCAUAUCGAUCGAUCGAUCGAUCGAUCUCGACUGAUGGAUGCAGCAGGGUGGUGGUACGUACGCAGUACAUUGCUAUUAUUGUGCCAAAGGAAGGGGACCAAUAUACACAUAAUGCACACACCAGAUGAGCUGCAAGGUGAGGGACAAACCUUGCAGACUCUGGUGGUGGUGGUACAACGUACUACUGAUUACUGGCCCAACAAUGCAAGCUAAAGACACGGAUGGAUGGUCGAUCAGAUCGAUCGCGUGCAUUGCAUUGGGUAGCAAACAUGCAGGUACUGAAUACUAUACAUACUGAUGCUCAAAAUUGCUGAUGAUGCAUGUUAUGAUGAAUACUAUACAUACUGAUGAUGCAUGUGUUAUAUAUCUGUUGAUGAGCAUUGUUCGCUAAAUGGUCAUUUAGCCCGUUUACAUAAGGUUUAAGUGUUAAACAGUGGUACGCCAUUUCCGUUUAAUUGGUGUUUUGACUAUUUAAAUGGUCAUUUUGCCAGAAUAAUAGACUAAACAGUAUGUGACCGACGGUUUA